rnacentral:rRNA from 1 species
UUCCUACGGGACGCAGCAGUGGGGAAUAUUGCACAAUGGGGGAAACCCUGAUGCAGCAACGCCGCGUGAGUGAAGAAGUCAUUCGUGAUGUAAAGCUCUAUCAGCAGGGAAGAAAAUGACGGUACCUGAGUAAGAAGCCCCGGCUAACUACGUGCCAGCAGCCGCGGUAAUACGUAGGGGGCAGGCGUUAUCCGGAUUUACUGGGUGUAAAGCGAGUGCAGGCGGUUCAAUAAGUCUGAU